rnacentral:rRNA from 1 species
AGAGAGAGACAUGCGCGCAUAUCAAUAAGCGGAGGAAAAGAAACUAACUAGGGAUUCCCUCAGUAACGGCGAGUGAAGCGGGAAGAGCUCAAAUUUGAAAUCUUCAAGGUUCUACCUUUACGAAUUGUAGUUUAAAGAAGUGUUUUCUGUUGAGGUUUUGGUAAAAGUUCUUUGGAAUAGGACAUCAUAGAGGGUGAGAAUCCCGUAUUUGACCUUUACUUUCAACUUUGUGAUACACUUUCAAAGAGUCGGAUUGUUUGGGAAUGCAGUCCAAAAUGGGUGGUAAAUUUCAUCUAAAGCUAAAUAUUGGCGAGAGACCGAUAGCGAACAAGUACCGUGAGGGAAAGAUGAAAAGAACUUUGAAAAGAGAGUUAAACAGUACGUGAAAUUGUCAAAAGGGAAGCGUUUGACACCAGUGUUGUUCUCUCGAAAAUCAAUUAAAAAGAGUUAGGAUUUUGUUGUGUAUUGACCUUAUCAGCUCUGCAUUCAUUUUCUUGUCUUUUUUAAUGCACUUUUCGUUUAACAAGUCAACAUCAAUUUCUUUUGUUGUAAAAGGGUCAUUGGAAGGUGGCUUUCUUUUCGGAGAAAGUGUUUAUAGCCUUUGGCCUCUGCAAUCGGAGAGAUUGAGGUCUGCAGCGUAGAUCCUUCGGGGUUAGAUACAUUUGUGCUAAGUUAUAGCCUUUCAUAGACAACUUGUUGACUAUGAUCAGUCAUGUAGCUUACUCGCUUAUGCUAUUUUACCUACGCUUAGGAUGUUGAUGUGAUACUGCGAGCA